CAUCAAUCUCUCUGCUAAUUGUGUGUUUGACUUGCUCCUGGAACUUUUCUUCCUUAGUCUGCAAGUUCUUUCCCCUAUGGAUUGCACGAAAACAAAACAAUCCGUCAUGGGAACAAAACACACCAGUUUGCUAAUUUUAAAUUUAAGGAGGUGUUUCAAAUAAAACUUUCCUCCCCUGCACCUCUACGCACACACACACCACACAAUUUAUUGCAUUCGGACUGGCAAUUUCUAUGUAGCUAUUGGGCCCUUCCUACCACAAAGGUUGGUAGUCAACGCUAGUCCUACCAUUUAAGCUAAUUAAUGGAUAUGACUAAGUUAGGUUGAUUUAUUUCAUUGGUUCUAUUCUGAGUAGGACUUGGCUGAAUACAACCCAGACUUCAAUUGUUUUCUGUUACCAUUUUGGUUUGUUCUAUUCAGUGGCCAUUGUCAUUUUGCUGCCUUGUAAUCUUGCUGUCUUCUCCACAUCCUCCUCUUCUGUCGUUUCUGAGGUGGCCGCUUACUCGUCUCCAAAAAUAUGGAAAACCCAUCACUAAAAAGAAUGAUAAGAAGACACAAGAGCUGCAUUAAAUGUACGAAUUCUAAUGCAUAGAUUAUGGUGCAUGGGCUUGAACUGUGAUCAAACAACUGCAGUAAGAUUCUCUUAAACGGUGCUGAUCGGCGCCUCUUCCAAAGUGAAUCUGGAAUUAGGAAUGGGGAGCUGAACCCAACCAUUGGCAUCUUUCUUCUUUACCCAAAAGCAGACGAUCCAUGUAACGGAGAUAACUGGACACAAUCCCAGCUCUGGGAUCUGAUUCCCCGCCCCCUAUGGAAAACUCGAGUGCAGCGUUCAUUUGCACUCAACUCCCUUUCCUUGGAUCAUGACCACUACGUUUAGAACUGAGAUGACAC